rnacentral:rRNA from 1 species
AACGCGAAGAACCUUACCAAGGCUUGACAUAUACCGGAAACGGCCAGAGAUGGUCGCCCCCUUGUGGUCGGUAUACAGGUGGUGCAUGGUUGUCGUCAGCUCGUGUCGUGAGAUGUUGGGUUAAGUCCCGCAACGAGCGCAACCCUCGUUAUGUGUUGCCAGUGAGUAAUGUCGGGGACUCACAGGAGACUGCCGGGGUCAACUCGGAGGAAGGUGGGGAGGACGUCAAAUCAUCAUGCCCCUUAUGUCUUGGGCUGCACACGUGCUACAAUGGCCGGUACAAUGAGCUGCGAUACCGCGAGGUGGAGCGAAUCUCAAAAAGCCGGUCUCAGUUCGGAUUGGGGUCUGCAACUCGACCCCAUGAAGUCGGAGUUGCUAGUAAUCGCAGAUCAGCAUUGCUGCGGUGAAUACGUUCCCGGGCCUUGUACACACC